rnacentral:rRNA from 1 species
CAGGUGCAUGCCUCUAGCAUGAAGUCAGACAAGUGAACCCGCUGAAUUU